CCGCGGUAAAACCAGCUCCCCGAGGGGUUCCCACGCAUACUGGGCCUAAAGCGUCCGUAGCCGGCCCUGUAAGUCUGCAGUUAAAUCCGCCUGUAGACAGGCGGGUUGCUGCAGAUACUGCAGGGCUAGGGAGCGGGAGGAGCCGGGGGUAUUCCCGGGGGAGCGGUAAAAUGCGUAGAUCCCGGGAGGACCACCAGUGGCGAAGGCGCCCGGCUUGAACGCGUCCGACGGUGAGGGACGAAAGCUGGGGGAGCAAACCGGAUUAGAUACCCGGGUAGUCCCAGCCGUAAACGAUGCCGGCUAGGUGCUGGCCAAGGUUUCGGCCUUGGCCAGUGUCGAAGCGAAGGCAUUAAGCCGGCCGCCUGAGGAGUACGGCCGCAAGGCUGAAACUUGAAGGAAUUGACGGGGGGGCACCACAAGGGGUGAAUGCCUGCGGCUUAAUUGGACUCAACGCCGGGAAUCUUACCGGGGGCGACAGCAGGAUGAAGGUCAGUCUGAAGACCUUACCAGACGCGCUGAGGGGUGGUGCAUGGCCGUCGCCAGCUCGUGCCGUGAGGUGUCCUGUUAAGUCAGGCAACGAGCGAGACCCCCGCCCCUAGUUGCCAGCGGCCUCCUUCGGGAGGGACCGGGCAAACUAGGGGGACCUCCUCCGAAGAGGAGGAGGAAGGUGGGGGCUACGGCAGGUCAGUAUGCCCCUAAUCCCCCGGGCCGCACGCGGGCU
rnacentral:rRNA from 1 species